rnacentral:rRNA from 1 species
GAUGAACGCUAGCGGCAGGCCUAAUACAUGCAAGUCGAACGGUCCACUUCGGUGGAUAGUGGCGCACGGGUGCGUAACACGUAUGCAACCUACCUUACAUUGGGGGAUAGCCUUUCGAAAGGGAGAUUAAUACCGCAUAAGACAGUAACAUGGCAUCAUGUAGCUGUUAAAGAUUUAUCGAUGUAAGCUGGGCAUGCGUCCAAUUAGUUAGUUGGUGAGGUAAAGGCUCACCAAGACGAUGAUUGGUAGGGGAACUGAGAGGUCAAGCCCCCACACUGGAACUGGGAUACGGGCCAGACUCCUACGGGAGGCAGCAGUAGGGAAUAUUGGGCAAUGGACGCAAGUCUGACCCAGCCAUGCCGCGUGCAGGAAGAAGGCGUUCUGCGUUGUAAACUGCUUUUAUAUAGGAAGAAACGACCCUUGCGAGGGGCAUUGACGGUAUUAUAUGAAUAAGCACCGGCUAACUCCGUGCCAGCCGCCGCCGUAAGAC